CUGAGGGAAAGUUGCAAAGAACUUUGAAGAGAGAGUUCAAAAGGGCGUGAAACCGCUUGGAAGCAAACGGAUAGAGCAGACGUUAGUCUUUGGGAUUCAGCCUAGUAGGUGCUUGGUUCGUGGCUUGCCUGAGAUUGUUUUUCCAGGAAGUCGCAAUAGCCUUGCGCUUGCAGGUGCAUUUCUCAAGGAUCGCGCUAAAGGCAAUGGUAGCGUUGCGUUGGACCCGAGUUGGUGGCUCAUCUGCCUCGGUAGAAGAGUGUCUCGCUUGGGACCCCAGUGCGGUCGCUGCUAUUGUGAUGGAAAGAGUGCCCUGAUUCAGCUCAAGGCCGGCAACACUUGACUUGGUUGGCUUGGAUUCCGGUUCAUUCUGGGCCUGGCUUUCUAGGGCUUGUGUAUGAAGGUACCUUGAGCGGUGCUCGGCUUUGGCGUUUUGUCUGUUACCUAUCUGACCCGUCUUGAAACACGGACCAAGGAGUCUAACAUGGGCGCGAGUCAUUGGGUUGCUAAACCUAAAGGCGCAAUGAAAGUGAAGACUGGCUUUAGUCAGUUGAUAUGCGAUCUUCGGCUUGCCGGAGCGCAGCAUAGUCCCUCGCUUUCCGCAUUGCCGGUGGCGAGGAGACAGAGCGGUCAUGUUGGGACCCGAAAGAGGCUGAACUUUGCGUGAUCAGUGCGAAGCCAGAGGAAACUCUGGUGGAGGCAUGUAGAGGUUCUGACGUGCAAAUCGAUCUUCAGAAUUGCGCAAAGGGGCGAAAGACCAACCGAAGUUUCUAGUAGCUGGUUUCCCCCU
rnacentral:rRNA from 1 species